GGUCAAGAUGGCUCUCUACUGCCUCUAGGCCUUUCAUUCCUUCUGAAGCUGCCAACUAUUAAACUAGAGACUAUGAAAGUCACUGACAGAUGGGGAACUGAUACAGACUUGGCUCUGGUCAGUGGUGCAAAUGACACAGUAAACUCAGCAGCACAGGAAGAUCCCAAUUCUCUUAUCACUUGCAUGCCAAUACUGGAACUCUGGAAAGCAAAAUAAGCACUGCUUGGAGCUGCAAAGAAAAUGUGAUGGUUACAAGAGAAGUGUAGGGAGCUUCACUGGACUCAGCAGCAGCAAUCUUCAAAAUGGUAAUAAAAUAUAAAACAUUA